UACAGAGGUUCCAAGCGUUGUUCGGAUUCACUGGGCGUAAAGGGUGCGUAGGCGGCCGGGUAAGUCUGCUGUGAAAUCCCGCAGCUCAACUGCGGAACUGCAUUGGAUACUAUCCGGCUAGAGGAAUGGAGGGGAGACUGGAAUUCUCGGUGUAGCAGUGAAAUGCGUAGAUAUCGGGAGGAACGCCAGUGGCGAAGGCGAGUCUCUGGACAUUUCCUGACGCUGAGGCACGAAAGCCAGGGGAGCAAACGGG
rnacentral:rRNA from 1 species